CUACGGAGGGUGCGAGCGUUAAGCGGAAUUACUGGGCGUAAAGGAUGCGUAGGCGGCUUGAUAAGUCGGAUGUGAAAGCCCCGGGCUUAACCUGGGAAUUGCAUUCGAUACUGUCAGGCUAGAGUAUGUCAGAGGUUGGCGGAAUUCCUGGUGUAGCGGUGAAAUGCGUAGAUAUCAGGAGGAACACCAGUGGCGAAGGCGGCUAACUGGGGCAAUACUGACGCUGAGGCACGAAAGCGUGGGGAGCAAACAGGAUUAGAAACCCUAGUAGUCC
rnacentral:rRNA from 1 species